rnacentral:pre_miRNA from 1 species
UUGAAACAUUCUCUACUGAACCAAGCUCCAAAACAAGUUCACUGGGGUUUGUUUCACUA